rnacentral:rRNA from 1 species
CUCUUACAAACACAUCCGCCAGGGUACUACAAGCGCUAGCUUAAAACCCAAAGGACUUGACGGUGUCUCAGACCCGCCUAGAGGAGCCUGUUCUAGAACCGAUAAUCCCCGUUAAACCUCACCAUCCCUUGUUUCUCCCGCCUAUAUACCGCCGUCGCAAGCUUACCCUGUGAAGGGUCUACAGUAAGCAAAAUGGGCCAGCCCCAGAACGUCAGGUCGAGGUGUAGCUCACGAGAUGGAAAGAAAUGGGCUACAUUUUCUACAACAGAAUAUCACGAACAGUACCAUGAAACUAGUACCUGAAGGUGGAUUUAGCAGUAAAAAAA